AGAGAUCACCAUGGGGUACAA
rnacentral:miRNA from 1 species